AGCGAACGCUGGCGGCAGGCUUAACACAUGCAAGUCGAACGCCCCGCAAGGGGAGUGGCAGACGGGUGAGUAACACGUGGGAACGUACCCUUUGGUUCGGAAUAACUUGGGGAAACUCAAGCUAAUACCGGAUAAGCCCUUAUGGGGAAAGGUUUACUGCCGAGGGAUCGGCCCGCGUCUGAUUAGCUAGUUGUUGCGGUAAUGGCUCACCAAGGCGACGAUCAGUAGCUGGUCUGAGAGGAUGAUCAGCCACACUGGGACUGAGACACGGCCCAGACUCCUACGGGAGGCAGCAGUGGGGAAUAUUGGACAAUGGGGGCAACCCUGAUCCAGCCAUGCCGCGUGAGUGAUGAAGGCCUUAGGGUUGUAAAGCUCUGUUACCCGGGACGAUAAUGACUGUACCGGGAGAAUAAGCCCCGGCUAACUCCGUGCCAGCCGCCGCAGUAA
rnacentral:rRNA from 1 species